ensembl:miRNA
GCACUCUGGGCCUCCAGCUUGUUGAACAGGUCUCUCCAGGCCAGGUCCUGGAAGAAGUUGUUGUAGCGGUAGUCCACAGAGCCUAGGUACCUGGCCACGGGG